rnacentral:lncRNA from 1 species
CUCAGGUUCAAGCAAUGCACCUGUGUGACUGGAAGGGAUGGAGUCAGGAUCCACCCAUUCCCAGACCUCAUUUAAGGGUGGCAGUGGAGGUGAGAGCUUCCUGAGGCCUCCUAAAGAAAUGAUGCUAAACUUCCUACCCCGGUGCUUGACUGUGCUGAAAACCCAUCCAGUCCUCACUAAGUUCUUCGUCUAGUCACUGAGCAUGAGUCAGUCACUGUGUAGUGGAGGAAGGCUCAUCAGAAGCAGAGCUCUCUUCAGAUCUUCCAAAGCAAUGGGCAAUGAGUGUACCAAAGGACAUAAAUGACCAUGGCCCAGAAGGGGACCUGGAC